UACAACAUAGCGUUAAUGCACCGGAUCCCAUUAGAACUCUGUAGUUAAACAUGCUCAGGAUAGAAUAGUAUUGGGAUGGGUGACCGCCCAGGAAGUCUUAGUGUUUUAC
rnacentral:rRNA from 1 species